rnacentral:lncRNA from 1 species
CACUACCUGGUUCCACAGUACAGAGCCACAGGGGGUCAUAAAGGUCAUUGUCCUGAGCUACAGAAGAUAGAACAGAAGUGAACAACAGAAAGAGGGCCUCUCUCAGGUUCUUUGAUGAAAACUGAGGCCAAUGGAAAAGUGAAGAGAAUCUCUGCAAUAAAGGCACACCAGACCACUGUACUUGGUAAAUUGGAGGGAUCAUCACACCUCCCAUUGGAACCUGGACUAUCUUCAGGGGAAGGAUUGUGGAUAAUCGUCUCCCAACAGCAAGAGGUGAUGGAGAAGAUCUCAGCUACAGAGAAGGAGGAGAAAAAGGCAGAAG